CCUAAUAAUGCAAGUCGAACGAAGAGCUUAGAGUAGCAAUACUCUGAUAACUCUUAGUGGCGAACGGGUGAGUAACGCGUUGGUGACCUACCCCAAAGAUAGGGAUAACAGCUCGAAAGGGCCGCUAAUACCUAAUGUUGUCAUUUGGCUUAGACGCCUUAUGACUAAAGGAGCUUGCUCCACUUUGGGAGGGGCCUGCGUACCAUCAGCUAGUUGGUAGGGUAAUGGCCUACCAAGGCUAUGACGGUUAGGGGACCUGAGAGGGUGGCCCCCCACAAUGGAACUGAAACACGGUCCAUACACCUACGGGUGGCAGCAGUAGGGAAUAUUGGUAAUCUGCGAAAGCGGGAACCAGCAACGCCGCGUGUGCGAAGAAGGCCUUCGGGUUGUAAAGCACUUUUCGGGAGGAAGAGGAAGGACUGUACUCCCGGAAUAAGUCUCGGCUAACUACGUGCCAGCAGCCGCGGUAAUACGUAGGAGGCAAACGUUAUCCGGAUUUACUGGGCGUAAAGCGCGUGCAGGCGGUCUGGUAAGUUGGACGUGAAAGCUCCCGGCUCAACUGGGAGAGGUCGUUCAAUACUGUCGGACUUGAGGAUGGUAGAGGGAGGUGGAAUUCCGGGUGUAGUGGUGAAAUGCGCAGAUAUCCGGAGGAACACCAGUGGCGAAAGCGGCCUCCUGGACCAUUCCUGACGCUCAGACGCGGAAGCUAGGGUAGCAAACGGGAUUAGAGACCCCGGUAGUCCUAGCUGUAAACGAUGUGAACCUGGCGUCGGUGGGAUUAAAUCCAUCGGUGUCGAAGCUAACGCGAUAAGUUCACCGCCUGAGGACUACGGCCGCAAAGUUAAAACUCAAAGGAAUUGACGGGGACCCGCACAAGCAGCGGAGCGUGUGGUUUAAUUCGAUGCAACGCGAAGAACCUUACCGAGAUUUGACAUCCCGUGACUACCUAUGAAAGUAGGGUUUGGCACUUUGUGUCACACGGAGACAGGUGGUGCAUGGCUGUCGUCAGCUCGUGUCGUGAGAUGUUGGGUUAAGUCCCGCAACGAGCGCAACCCCUAUCCUUAGUUGCCAGCGAGUAAUGUCGGGGACUCUAAGGAGACAGCCGGUGAAAGCCGGAGGAAGGUGGGGAUGACGUCAGGUCCUCAUGCCCUUUAUAUCUCGGGCUACACACGUGCUACAAUGGUCGGAGCAAAGGGGAGCGAAGCCGCGAGGUGGAGCAAAUCCUUUAAAGCCGAUCUCAGUUCGGAUUGCAGGCUGCAACUCGCCUGCAUGAAGCUGGAAUCGCUAGUAAUCGCAGGUCGGCAUACUGCGGUGAAUACGUUCCCGGGCCUUGUACACACCGCCCGUCACACCACCCGAGUUGGAUGCACCAGAAGUCACCCGAGGGUGCCGAA
rnacentral:rRNA from 1 species